AACGUAGGAGACAAACGUUAUCCGGAGUUACUGGGCGUAAAGGGCGUGCAGGCGGUCGACUAAGUCUGGCGUGAAAGCUCGCGGCUAAACCGCGAGAGGUCGUUGGAUACUGGUUGACUAGAGGACGGUAGAGGCGUGUGGAAUUCCGGGUGUAGUGGUGAAAUGCGUAGAGAUCCGGAGGAACACCAGUGGCGAAGGCGACACGCUGGGCCGUACCUGACGCUAAACGCAGACGACCAUGGG
rnacentral:rRNA from 1 species